AAUCUCUCCUGACAAGGACCCUUUGCAUCUAAUGCUAAAGCAAAUUAAGAAUUGUAAUUUUACGUAUUUUAAUAAUGAAACGUCAAAAGCAGAACUGAAGGUCAGCAGACUCAUUCUCAGUUUUUCAAACAUACAUAUAGUAUUUUUCAGUAUGCAGCAGUGUGUAUUUUAUGUAUUAUUAGACUCUGACAUGAAAAAUGUCCCUGUCGUCGCUGGGAACCACUGGAUAGUCACUAAGGGCUGUUGGAAGCAUCUUGACCUCAAGCUGAAAGGAUGGGCUCAGGAGAUGCUCACUAAAGACUCUUGUUAUGUUUUAUGCAGGAAUGACAACACCCAAGAUGAAAGCGUGGAGCAAAAUUGUGGCCUAACCUGCUAG
ensembl:lincRNA